rnacentral:misc_RNA from 1 species
CAUUUGAUGUUGUGGAAGAUUCUAGGGGCUCUGUGGGGGUAAAAAUUGAUGACAAUGUGACUGUUUAUUGGGUUGAGGAGUUAUUGGCCAUGAUUUUGAGUUAUGCGGCCAAUCUGGCGGAGUUUCAUUCCAAGGUGACGGUGAAGGAUGCGGUGAUCAGCGUGCCACCGUAUUUUGGGCAGGCAGAGAGGAGGGGUUUGGUUCAAGCUGCGCAGCUGGCUGGGAUUAAUGUGCUUUCUCUUAUAAAUGAGCAUUCAGGUGCAGCUUUGCAAUACGGGAUUGACAAGGAUUUUUCUAAUGGUUC